UACGGAGGGGGCGAGCGUUAUUCGGAAUUAUUGGGCGUAAAGGGCGCGUAGGCGGCUUGGUAAGCCAAAGGUGAAAUCCCUCAGCUCAACUGAGGAAUUGUCUUUGAAACUGCCUGGCUCGAGGCCGGGAGGGGGUAGCGGAAUUCCCAGUGUAGCGGUGAAAUGCGUAGAUAUUGGGAGGAACACCGGUGGCGAAGGCGGCUACCUGGACCGGUUCUGACGCUGAUGCGCGAAAGCGUGGGGAG
rnacentral:rRNA from 1 species